rnacentral:rRNA from 1 species
CGGCGAGUGAAGCGGUAAUAGCUCAAAUUUGAANUCUGACCUUCACGGNUCUGAGUUGUAAUUUGUAGAGGAUGUUUCGGAUAAGACUUUGGUUUAAGUAUCUUGGAACAGAACGUCAUAGAGGGUGAGAGUCCCGUCUAGAACCGAUAGUCGCGUCCAUGUGAAACUCCUUCGACGAGUCGAGUUGUUUGGGAAUGCAGCUCAAAAUGGGUGGUAAAUUUCAUCUAAAGCUAAAUAUUGGCCAGAGACCGAUAGCGCACAAGUAGAGUGAUCGAAAGAUGAAAAGCACUUUGAAAAGAGAGUUAAACAGUAUGUGAAAUUGUUGAAAGGGAAGCGCUUGCAACCAGACUUGCGUAUAACGGUUCCCCCAAUCUUCUGACUGGGUUAUUCUGUUAUAUCCAGGCCAGCAUCGGUUCGGGUGGUUGUUUAAAGACUUUGGGAAUGUAUCUNNCUUCGGGUCGACUUAUAGCCUAAGGUGUCAUACGGCCUAUCUGGACCGAGGAACGCGCUUUUUGCUCGGAUGCUGGCGUAAUGGUCGUAAGCGGCC